AUUUUAAUAAGCAUGAGUGUAAUUUUCAUAAUUCCAGAUUAAUGGACUUUGUGGGAUUAAUUCAUGCAAAAUAAACGGGUUUUGGUGGGAGCCCCACAUAUGUGACUGAUCGAUCGAUUAACAGAUAGAUCGAUUUGAUUAUGAUACAUGGUUGAUUUAUCCUGCUCUAUGACAUACUCAAAAUUAUUCCUUAAUUGUGCACUAACCUCACUUUUUGAUAGCGCUUCAUGGAUCACUACCCAGGUACGCAUCCACAUCCGCUCUGGUCAUUUUCGGUAUGCAUGUUUAGAUUCUCACGUGUGCAUGAUCACUUUGUGUGUUCAUUGAUUUCCUCAUCAAUUGCCAUGAUUGCUUCAUUUUAUUAGUAGAGACCCGACUUUAGGGAUUUAGAGGGGUGCUAUGGUAUUUUACCGUACCUUCCCGACAAGUAACCUGACCCCCGAACCCGAUCCGGUUUUUCGUAGAUCACAUUUUCCAAAAUAAGGAGUCGCACUUAGGGUUUUUCUUUCUUAUUUUGUUUACCCUUUAAAAAUAAAACAAAAAUAAGUGGCGACUCCAAGUCAUUUCUUUUUAACCAA
rnacentral:lncRNA from 1 species